AACGAACGCUGGCGGCAUGCCUAACACAUGCAAGUCGAACGAGACCUUCGGGUCUAGUGGCGCACGGGUGCGUAACGCGUGGGAACCUGCCCUUAGGUUCGGAAUAACUCCCCGAAAGGGGUGCUAAUACCGGAUAAUGUCUUCGGACCAAAGAUUUAUCGCCUUUGGAUGGGCCCGCGUUGGAUUAGCUAGUUGGUAGGGUAAAAGCCUACCAAGGCGACGAUCCAUAGCUGGUCUGAGAGGAUGAUCAGCCACACUGGGACUGAGUCACGGCCCAGACUCGUACGGGAGGCAGCAGUGGGGAAUAUUGGACAAUGGGCGAAAGCCUGAUCCAGCAAUGCCGCGUGAGUGAUGAAGGCCUUAGGGUUGUAAAGCUCUUUUACCCGGGAUGAUAAUGACAGUACCGGGAGAAUAAGCUCCGGCUAACUCCGUG
rnacentral:rRNA from 1 species